GGGUGGAGCCGCCGCGAGCCCACGGCAGUCAUUUCUUGGUAUUUAAAAAAAAGUAGCAAAAGAAAAGAAAGAAUCAAAGCCUCAAGCGUCACGUCUAGGAAUAGCGUCGGAGCCAGGCCAAGUCAUUAUAGACGAUGAGUAAUCCGGUUAAGUCAUUUCUCUAAACGCCAUUCCUUCUGCAGGAGCAAAGAGCUGAUGCUGGGAAAGAUUGAAGGCAGGAGAAGAGGGUGACAGAGGAUGAGAUGGUUGGAUGGCAUCACCGAUUCAAUGGACAUGAGCUUGGGCAAACUCCAGGAGAUGGUCCAACAACAUGAGCUGGGUCCUGGUAGUGAGCCGGACACUCAUCUCUCCCUCGGUGACCCUCACGUGGACCCUUGGCAGAUAAGGGCACUGGGGCCCGGAACCUUCCCACUGGCUUCCCACGCCAGUCCCCAAAGCGGUAGAGAGUAACUCAAGCUUACAGAUGAACGCUUGAGGCAGCCUCUGAGCAACUUACACACGUUCACACUUGCAAUGAAUCAGGCACUUUUGAAAUUCCCUUUUGACCAAAGGGCAGAGAGAAACCGAGAGGUUCUCAACUUCCUAAGAAGCUGCACUGGCUCAGCCAGUCCACUAAAACAGGAAGCUCCAAGGCUCUGGAGUCAGGCCGACUGCUCCCC
ensembl:lncRNA